AAAAAUGGCCCCUGCCAUUGCAAUCUGGGAGAGUUUGUCUGCUGUGUUUGUCUCUUUGUACUGGAACAAGUUUCUGAAGUGGAAGCAUCUGAAUACCGACUGUAUCAAAUAGUUUCAACAUCUUAAAGACUCAUUCAGAAUUUUAACAUGAACACCAAUCCAUUUAUCAAGGAUUCCCAUCACCAGUUAAAUACUGGACAAAAGAGCACCAGACAAGAAAUCAGUCCACUCCGUAUAUGAUAGCAGCAGUGAAUAAAACGUCUAUUUGCAUGCCUUCAAAAACGCUUUGUACAA